rnacentral:rRNA from 1 species
UACGUAGGGUGCGAGCGUUGUCCGGAAUUAUUGGGCGUAAAGAGCUCGUAGGCGGUCUGUCGCGUCGAUCGUGAAAACUUGGGGCUUAACCCUGAGCUUGCGGUCGAUACGGGCAUGACUGGAGUUCGGUAGGGGAGCAUGGAAUUCCUGGUGUAGCGGUGAAAUGCGCAGAUAUCAGGAGGAACACCAGUGGCGAAGGCGGUGCUCUGGGCCGGAACUGACGCUGAGGAGCGAAAGCGUGGGGAGCAAACAGG